rnacentral:lncRNA from 1 species
ACGACUUUGAGUGGCAAUGGGGUAGACUGGUCAUAUGGUAAAUCGGGGAAUAUAAAUUUCAUGCUUUCUUUUGGCUUGCCACAGGGUGAGACGAAUUCUGCAAGUUUGGAACCAAUAGCUAGCUUGAUGUCAGGCAAGGCAGGACCAGUAAUAUCCCGGGCUGGGUUCUACCUUAUAUUCAUUUGGGUGCUGAUCCUUUCAGUGAGUUAUAAAAUUGGGACAUGCAUUUGUAGCAGGUAAGACCCUUGAUCCAUAGGAUGGUU